UGUCGUAUAUAGUUACUUGUGUGGUGUGUAAGCUUUUUGCACUUUUUUACAAUAACACAAAUAUCGCUAUAAUUAUUGUUCGAUUUCGUAGAUUGGAGUGUACACAUAGGAUGAACAUAUUACUGUUGACAUCGUUGCUAGCCGUGCAAUCUUGUCCCAGGAUCAUAUUUGGGGCGCGAAUAUUGGCGAUAGAACCGUGUGGUAGUAAAAGCCACUGGCAGUACAUGAAGUCCAUUCUGGACUUGUUGGCGGUCCGACACCAUGUAACCGUCAUCACGCCGCUGCUCACCAACAACCGUGAGAACUACACGGAAAUUGAUGCGUCGCAGGUGUUACCAAUAUACCCGUUAAUGGGCGCAAUGGAAAUGAUCGAGCAGUACGGGUCGGUGAUGAACAUACUGCCUCCAUGGCCGAAGCGCAGCCACGAGCGUGACAUUUGCGACGCUUUUUACGAGUUUGAGCCGAUCAGAGACCUGUUAAACCGCGGUGCCGACGGACGGUACGACGUAAUUAUGCUUGAGCCGUUUUACUCACCGUGCCUAUCGUACCUGGCGCACAAGAUGCGGGUGCCUGAAAUCUAUGUGAUCCCCUCAUCGAUGAUAACCAUGGAGUCAAUGUUAUUCGGCACCGAGCCCAACCCGUCGUACGUGCCGCAUCUUCUGUAUAAUGGAGCGGUCAUGGACGGCUUCAUGCAGCGGCUGACCAACGUUGCGCUGUUCGCGUACGUCAAAAUUGUAGUGUGGCUUACCAACGUGCGGAUGAUGUACCGAGAACCGAGACCCUACGACAUAGCCGGCAUCCGGCACAAUCCAUCGUUGGUGUUUAUCAAUACACAUUUCAUCACCGAAUCGCCGCGACCGUUCCCAGUCAAAAUGAUACAGAUCGGAGGCAUCCAUCUGCAGCCACCCAAAGUGUUACCGGAAGACAUAUUAGAAUUUAUUGAAAAUUCGCCACAUGGAGUAAUAUACUUUACAUUUGGAUCAGUGUCAUCAAUGGCAACAUUGCCAAAACACAUUCUACAAACAUUUAUUGAAGUGUUUGCACAAGUUCCUCAAAGAGUAUUGUGGAAGUAUGAUGGUGAAAUUAGUGACUUGCCUAAAAAUAUCAUGACCAGAAAAUGGUUCCCACAACGGGAUAUUCUUCUUCAUCCAAAAGUAAAGUUAUUCAUAAGCCACGGUGGAAUAUCUGGAGUGUAUGAAGCUGUAGACGCUGGAGUUCCAGUUCUCGGAUUCCCUCUUUUUUAUGACCAACCAAGAAAUGUGAUUAAUUUGGUGGACGCGGGAAUGGCGUUAUCGAUGGACUUAUUGACUGUUAAUAAAAUUGAGUUUUUGAAAAACAUUAACAAGCUCUUAAAUGAUAAAAAGUUCUCUAUCCGUGCAAAAAUCGUUUCGAAACACUUUAAGGAUCGUCCACUUCCGCCAUCAGAAAUGGUCAACUAUUGGUUUGAAUAUGUACUUCGCCAUAACGGAGCUUCCCAUUUGAACUCUAAAGCUUUUAAUCUGACUUGGUACCAAUACUUUUUGUUAGAUAUAAUCACUGUUGUAGUUAUACUACUUGUUAUUUUUGCUUACUUGACGUUUAUUCUAUUCCGUUGGUUUCAAUAUUAUACAUUAAAGUUGUAUAAACUUAACCAAAGUCACAUUACUGUUAAGAAAUAGUUAGUUGACAAUCAUCAAUAACAUUUUAAGAAAUAAUUAAUCGAUGCUAUAUAAGUUGUCGUUUAAAUUUGAUUUAUUUGUUUACAGUUCUCCUAUAGAGUUAUUGAGUUAUAGCAUUACACGAAGCAAAUUUCCAUUAAUGGUUAUUAUCAAAAUAAUUGGCGCACUUUUUAAAACCAUGUUCAGUCUCUACCAUAAUCUUUAUAGCAUAUAGCAUAUACCUACCAUGUAUCACAUACCUUGUACCAUGAACACUCUACUUAACAUCUGUAAGCUUAUAACAAUAAAGGGGAGUUUACACUUCAGCUGGAUUCAUAGCUACGUCGUGUCGAUCAAACCACUUUCUGAUUGGACUUUUGACUUUGGAUAUAGUGGUAUUACCAAUUUAAAACCGAGGAUACCAAGAAUUAAAUACGGCCUAACUUUUAAACUAUUAUGGUUACCAAAUAACAUGACACAUAACGUAUAGCUGCAGUGAAUCCGACUUAUUUAUGUUGUGUCGUGUCGUGUCGUAUCUAGUUAUGAUCUUUCCAGGUGUUUUAUUAUUUUAAUUAAUUAAUUUGUUUCGUUAUCAUUUUUCUGCACAUAUCUGUAACCACACGACCUAAAGUUGAACAAAUUCAGGUGGGUUUCCACUAUACACGUUCGCAUAAAUCCUUUGCUGUAAUUUGUUGGUCAGGUAAGGUUACCACAUGAUUAACCACCACGUUACUGUGUUGUUAGCUGAACAUUUUACGUGUUCCUACUUGGCACACGCGUAUAAUGGGAACCCGCCUUUUAAGUAUGCGGUAACGUUUGGUUACAGAAGUAUCGUGUGAUAAAAUAUACCAUAUUAUGGUAUACGUUAAUGGAACCACGCAGUUCAGCCAAUCAGAGAAAGUUGUUCACUCGACACGACUAGGUGAAUGUGUUAACCCCCCCUUUAUACGUUCAUUACUGAGAAAUCGACCUUAUCUGACAAUAUCUUGUCGCUGCCAAUCGGAAUUGAACGCUUUGCACUUUUCAUUAGCAGUUAUUUCAUUUUUAUAAUUAUUCUUUGAUUGAAAUGUCGAAAGAGGAUCUCAUUCGGGUUAUAAGUGUUAUAACGGACUUUCGGAUUUUUUUUUCAGUAUUGUUAAGAAAUGUUCAAAAUUUUAGAUCAUGAUAUAGUAUUAUAUAGUAUUUGAUACAAAAAUGUGUGUUACAUAAAAGAUAUAAAUAAAACUUGAGUGGAAUCUUCGUCUACAAACGUUUAAAUGGCGGCAGAGGCUUCAACAUCACAGGUCAUUAGCCUAAAAUGAUAUGUUUUAUUACGCAUAAGUCUUGUAAUAUAACACAGCUAUUUUUAGCUACAUGGAAAAUUGGUGUACCUACUUUUGAACGAUAUCAUUAUCUACUUAAGCCGCUAGGUACCAUGUAACUGCAAAUAAG
rnacentral:misc_RNA from 1 species